GAACCUGCGGAAAGAUCAUUG
rnacentral:rRNA from 3 species